GAUGAAGAACGUAGCGAAAUGCGAUACUUGGUGUGAAUUGCAGAAUCCCGUGAACCAUCGAGUCUUUGAACGCAAGUUGCGCCCGAAGCCACUAGGCCGAGGGCACGCCUGCCUGGGCGUCACACGCCGUUGCCCCCCCAUCUACUCCUUCGGGAUUGCGGGGGGGCGGAUGAUGGCCUCCCGUGCGCCUAGCCGCGCGGUUGGCAUAAAUACCAAGUCCUCGGCGACGCACGCCACGACAAUCGGUGGUUGCGAAACCUCGGUUGCCCGUCGUGUGCGUUCGUCGCGCAUCGAGGGCUCGAAAAAAUGCUCGGCUCCGGCUGGGCUUUCAACGCGACCCCAGGUCAGGCGGGGUUACCCGCUGAAUUUAAGCAUAUCAAUAGGCGGAGGA
rnacentral:misc_RNA from 1 species